UGGUCCUACGGGACGCAGCAGUGAGGAAUAUUGGUCAAUGGGCGGGAGCCUGAACCAGCCAAGUCGCGUGAGGGAAGACGGUCCUACGGAUUGUAAACCUCUUUUGCCGGGGAGCAACGGGGUCCUUGCGAGGGCCCAAUGAGAGUACCCGGAGAAAAAGCAUCGGCUAACUCCGUGCCAGCAGCCGCGGUAAUACGGAGGAUGCGAGCGUUAUCCGGAUUUACUGGGUGUAAAGGGAGCGUAGACGGCUAAUCAAGUCAGAAGUGAAAACCCAGGGCUCAACCUUGGGAGUGCUUUUGAAACUG
rnacentral:rRNA from 1 species